UUGCAACCACCCGCGUUAUUACUAAGGUGCCAGCCUUGUCCGGAAAUUAUUGGGCGUAAAGCGCGCGCAGGUGGUUCCUUAAGUCUGAUGUGAAAGCCCACGGCUCAACCGUGGAGGGUCAUUGGAAACUGGGGAACUUGAGUGCAGAAGAGGAAAGUGGAAUUCCAAGUGUAGCGGUGAAAUGCGUAGAUAUUUGGAGGAACACCAGUGGCGAAGGCGACUUUCUGGUCUGUAACUGACACUGAGGCGCGAAAGCGUGGGGAGCAAACAGGAUUAGAUACCCUGGUAGUCC
rnacentral:rRNA from 1 species